rnacentral:lncRNA from 1 species
GAGAUUUUAUAGCUUGUCACGGUUUCUACUAUAUUAAGAAUCAAGUCUAACAAAAUCAGAAUAGAUGCUAAGCCUGGAAACCCACAGGAAACAUGUUAUUCUUCAGUAUUUGCAAAGCACUGAUAAAAACAUCUCUCUUCUCUCAAUCUUGCUUCCUUCUUUUCAUUUACUAAAUAGGCUUUUGAGCCUCACAAGACUUUGAGAUUUUAUGGAUAUGAAACCUGCUAUCAUUUAGCAUCCUGCCUCUGGGAAUAGACAUGGAUUCUCACUAUGACACCCAGGCUGGAGUGCAGUGGCACAAUCAUAGCUGACUACAGCCUCGAAUUUCUGGGCUCAAGCAAGGCUUUCAUCUCAACCUCCCCAGGAGCUGGGAUUACAGAUGGUGUCAGAAGCGGGGUUCAAAGUAGAGCUUUAAUGACCCCCAGAAGUGCUGAGUGAACAAGCAAGGUACCUGCAAGGACCCACUUGUGUCCUUUGAUCUCUCAGAGCAGUGGAAUUUUCAGCCUGCCAGCCUGCCCUACAGAAUUCAGACUUGUCAGCCUCCACAAUCAGUUCUAGAGGCUGAUAAGUCCAAGCAUAUGGUGCCAGCAUCUGGUGAGGCCUUCUUGCUGUGUAAUCUCAUGGCAGAAGAGUGGAAGGACAAGUGAGCACAUGCAAAAGGGAUUGUACAAGGUGCUGAGCUGGCUUUAUUACAACUUGCUCUUGAGAUAACUACCAACUCUGAUGAUAGGACCUUAAUCUAUUCAUAAGGGUGCUGCCUAUGAUUUGAUUACCUCUUAAAGGCCCCACAUCUUAAUACUUUUACAAUGGCAAUUAAAUGUCAACAUGAGUUUCAGUGGAGACAAACAUUCAAACCAUAGCAAAGGCUUAGAAUAGAAUCCUAGGAAUUCCAAAAUUGCCAGACAGAGAAAAAGAUGACAGCUACAGAAUCUGUGAAAUAUGUUCAUCAAAGUAAAAAGAAAUCCAGACAGUCAGUGACCUGUGAGCCAAUGGAAGAGAGAGACCACACAGGUGAGUGCCAAUGAGAGAUCAAAUGAGAUAUAGGUCAUAGUUACUUGUUCUAUUAAAUGACAUAGAAGAUAAAGGUGGCCUUAGCAAAAAUAGAAUUUCAAACUGUUAGGGAGGAAGCCAGACUGGAAUUAGAGAGGUAGCUGAAGAAUGACAGGGAAUGAGUAGAGAGGAACAGAGAGUAUAGGUUCUUUUGAAGAGCCAGGAAAGUUGGCAUGAAGAAGCUCAAUAUCUCUUUCUGUCUCUCAUUCUCACUCUGUGUGUGUAUGUGUGUGUGUGUGUGUGUGUGGUGGGGAGAAGGAAUAAGAGACAGAAAUCUUGAAACAUUAAAAUUAUCAUUAAAUGAUGGUGAGAAGGAAAGAAAUAUAAAAGUUAUGGUAAGAGAAAAAUAUGAGUAAUAUUUAACUCUUUCCAGAAAGGAUCCUCAAACCAAAGAACAUCCAUUUAGGCACUAUGGCUAGUGUUCAAACACACAAUAACCUCAAAAUAACACUUGCUGUCAAGCAGAAUUUGUAAAACUGAGCUGAAUAAUCAUGGAUUCAAAGGAAUUUAUUUCCUGACAUAUCAAAAUGGCCUUGUUUAAAUCAUGUAAUCGAGUCUAUAAUAAAAAUUUAAUCUUAAGGUUUUAUAGCUCAAAAAAAUCUGUAUUUUAAAUUUUUAGGCAGUUUCUUCUAAGGUGAACAAUGGUAUUUACCUUUUGGGUAGAACAUGACUUAUUUUUGGAAGUAUUGCUUGAGUAAUAUUAAGAAUUAGGAAAUAUCUACUUGCUGAUAUGAGAGUAUACAAAAAUGUUUGCUUGACAAGCUUCCGAGGGCUCUGUAAGAUUGUGGUGAUAUCAGAUAAUGCCCUUCCCAAAUGUGUCUGCUCAUCAAUGAAUUUACACACAUGCAUAACAGCUUCCUGGGAGCAGAAUGGCUUGUACCUGGUUCUGUCUCUGAGUGUUUCAAAGAUAUGGAAGCAUGUUUGAUGAAAGAUCAUGGAAUAGCAAAGAAAAAUAGCACCAAAAAGGCAAACAAGGCAGGGAAAGAUUCUAGACUAGUGAUUUGGGAUCAACACAGGACAGGAUGAUUAGAGAGAAUAGCUUCCUGUGCACACUAUGUAGUUUGAUGCAGAAGCCAUCCUGAUCCAGAUGCCCUGGUACUGUGGGGCGGGACCUUGGAAAAAUUACCCAGAGGAUGUGAAGUGAAAGUUUUGUUACACCAUUCUUCAGAGUGAAGGCAGUUUUCCUACAGAAACCUUCAAAAAAGGAGAUGCAUCCUUCCUUGUUCCUGGCAGUCUUGCAUUUGAGGAAAUCAGUAUGCUCCAACUUAGACUUAUCUUUUAGUCUCCAGAGGCAGAAAAAAAGCAGAAAAGGUUGUUGAAAUUCUUCACAUUGAUUUCAGGGCAAUGAUCUCAAACGGCGCAGUGGGAACCCGCAAAUUUAAGAGGGUAGUUUCCCUGCACAAGCCCUUUUUUUGCCUGCUGCCAUCCGUGUAAGAUGUGACUUGCUCCUCCUUGUCUUCUACCAUGAUUGUGAGGCCUCCCCAGUUAUGUGGAACUCAAAGCUAGAGGAAACCAAAGUCAUAGAACAUCUGAACUCUGUCCAAACAUCGGUCGUAUUUCAAAAUUUCAGAGCCUCAGACUUCCAUGAUAAUAUCUGCCUAGUCUUUAGAAGAGUGUAUGGAAGUGUUCAAGAACCUUUCCUGAAACAACUUCUAUUACAGACACUGCUUCUUCAUGGUUAUUCCAUCAGAUUGCAAUCACUUAUAUGUUUUUUUCCACUCUUCCUUAUAUUAUGAGCACUUUUCACGUAGGGGUUCAUCUCUUUAAUAAUCAUAGCUCCCAACACAAUUGUAGGCUUAUAUUAGAUGCUCGAUAAAGAUGAGUUGAGUUAACAUGUAAAGUAAUGAAUGAGUAAGGAAAAAUAGAAUAGUUUCGAAUUAAUGCAUGUUACUGCUACUGUAAAUUUAAUGUUUUCAUUUCUAUUACUAUUUAUAUAUAAAUUUAAUUAAUUGUUAACUUUCUUUGCCAUCCAUACAUCUAUUUAUCUGCUCAUUUGAAAAUCUCUUUCCUGUUUCCUAUUAUUCAAAAUAUUAAAAGCAAAUAUUACUUAAAUAUUUAAAUCACUCUUUUUCCAUGUUAAGUUUCUCAGGAUGCAGAAUGUUGCUGUACACUGAGAAAUAUUAGGCGAUACAAAAUGGCUACUAUAACGUAAUGUUCUAGAAAAUGAUAAAAGUCAAACCCAUUGGUUUUUGCUGCCAACACAAGUUUGUCAAUGUAAUUAAUGCCCUUUAGCCUGGGAGGGUUGUAUGACAGGAAAAAUGGCAUCAAAGCCAUUUUUAUUUAAAAAAUAAAUUUAAUAUUACUUGAUAAUAAGGGAGCUAUAUAAGCAAAAAUCUUAGAAUUUUCUUUUUCUUUUUUUUCCUUAGUUUCACAUCUUUCUACAUAGUAUCCAAAUCCCAGUUGUUGAUACUAAUUUUCUUGCCUUCUUACCCUUAACAAGUUUGGAGACAAAGUUAAUAUCAUUAGUAGUAUGUAAACUAAUUCCUAAAGCAAAAGUCUCUAAAAGUGUGAUCCAUGUCCCAUUUUUUAUUGGUCUGCAAUGAGGUAAGCACAGAAAUUUUAAUCACCUCCACGCAUACCUUCAAUGAGCAACAUGUACAGUUUUUUGAGACUCUUCUCUCUUUUCCUGUUAUUUUCUGAUUGCAUUUAUAAAAAUGCAAUUUUGUGUUUGUUGAAUCUGAUGAUAAAAAAUGAGGAAACACCGCAUAUUCUCACUCAUAGGUGGGAAUUGAACAAUGAGAUCACAUGGACA